GUCCACGCCCUAAACGAUGUCGACUGGUUGUUGGGGGUUUGACACUCUCAGUAACGAAGCUAACGCGUGAAGUCGACCGCCUGGGGAGUACGGCCGCAAGGUUAAAACUCAAAGGAAUUGACGGGGACCCGCACAAGCGGUGGAUUAUGUGGAUUAAUUCGAUGCAACGCGAAAAACCUUACCUACCCUUGACAUGUCCUGGAGGCCCCUGAGAGGGGGCUGUGCCCGAAAGGGAACGGAACACAGGUGCUGCAUGGCUGUCGU
rnacentral:rRNA from 1 species